GCAGAAUCGGGAAAAUUGAUCAGAUAUGAUACAGGUUCAGGACAUCACUGGUUAUAAAUCAGAAUGUUAAUAUUUUAAAUACUUGAAAAUUUCUUCAAACUUGCAUCAAAUACUUGAUAUUGUUGAUAUGAAGCACUUAAAGCAAAUGGCAGCACUUAUUUCCAUAUCUUCACAUAUUUAUCAUGACUCGCAGACGCAACCAUCCCUGUAAGCGGCGAUUGUGCCAAAGCUGAUAUCACACACUCAUGAGCAGGAAUCGUCAUACACUUGUUCUCACCCGUGUUCCAGAGUUCNCUGAUAGCCUCCAAUGACCAAGAGAGUGGAGUAGCUUGGAUGGAAAACACAAGAAUGAAACUUGUUCCCACUGGAAAUAAGUUCGUGAAUACACUCUCCUGACGCCAAUGACCACACUCGGACAGAUUCUUGACUGACAGAGGCCAAGAAGUCUCCAUUUACAUCCCAACAAAUGGAGUGUACCUCAGUGGAGUGACCCAGUAAUGAGUGCGUCUGUCUGUCAGUUUCAACAUCAAAUAUGGACACAACAUUCUCCGCAGCUGCAGCCAGCAGCUGCCCAAUUCUUGGCUGAAAUCUAACUUGUGCAGUACCUCCCUUAGAUAUGCGGGUGCUAGAAUACUGAUUGACGUUCCAGAAGCGUAUCUCAUUGUUACCAUCACAAGAGCAGAAAAGGUCAUUUUUCUUAGGGUGGAAAUCAAGAGACAUCACAUGUGAGGUAUGCCCAGUAUAUGUCUGCAAGGAAUACCUUGGAUCUACAGCAUCCCAGAGUCGAACACUUGUAUCAAAUGAAGAUGUUGCCAGCUGAGUUGUAUUUGGUCUGAAACGAACAUCAGUAAUUAUGUGAUUGUGUUCUUCAGGAGUGCAUUCCGUCUGCAGAGUUUCCAUGUUCCAAAGAACAACCUUCUUGUCAUGCCCAGCACUGGCCAAUGACUUCCCAUCUGUGGAGAAAUGACAGCAAACAACUUUGCCAUUGCUUUUACGAAUGGAACCAACUUCGCUGAAUGAGAAACCCUUGGAAGCCUCUGUUGCAUGUUCAGAAGGAUUCUUUUUCAAUGUGCUAAACAAAUCCCUUCCAUCUCA
rnacentral:misc_RNA from 1 species